AGCGCAACCCCUAUUGUUAGUUGCCAUCAUUCAGUUGGGCACUCUAGCGAGACUGCCGGUAAUAAACCGGAGGAAGGUGGGGAUGACGUCAAAUCAUCAUGCCCCUUAUGACCUGGGCUACACACGUGCUACAAUGGUUGGUACAACGAGUUGCGAGUCGGUGACGGCGAGCUAAUCUCUUAAAGCCAAUCUCAGUUCGGAUUGUAGGCUGCAACUCGCCUACAUGAAGUCGGAAUCGCUAGUAAUCGCGGAUCAGCACGCCGCGGUGAAUACGUUCCCGGGCCUU
rnacentral:rRNA from 1 species